AACAUACUAGUAGCUGAUGUCUUAAAUUUGACAUCUCUCGUUGUUCUCAUUCCAUACAUAUUUUAUGCGGGAAAGGUUGAUCACAGAUAUUUCAAAUUAUUGCAACUUGGUUGUUUUGUGCCAACUGAGUAACUUUCAAGAUAUUAAUUAAAUAAUAUUAAAUCAUAGUCUAUAGAUUUUAUAAAAUUUUUAAUAUAGAAAUAACACAAAAAUGGAAAAAUUGACAAGUUUGCAUUGCUUAUUUCGAUUUGAGUAUGUAGGUACUAAAU
rnacentral:lncRNA from 1 species